rnacentral:rRNA from 1 species
UACGUAGGGUGCAAGCGUUAUCCGGAAUUAUUGGGCGUAAAGAGCUCGUAGGCGGUUUGUCGCGUCUGCUGUGAAAACUGGAGGCUCAACCUCCAGCCUGCAGUGGGUACGGGCAGACUAGAGUCCGGUAGGGGAGCAUGGAAUUCCUGGUGUAGCGGUGAAAUGCGCAGAUAUCAGGAGGAACACCAGCGGCGAAGGCGGUGCUCUGGGCCGGAACUGACGCUGAGGGGCGAAAGCGUGGGGAGCGAACAGG